CUCACACAUUGUGGGUAUUACAAAGGUUUAAUAAAUAUCCCUUUAAGACCUAAACCUGGCCGCCGUCUCGGAUAUUUACGCGGUCAAAGCAGAGGAUUUGUUUUGGCUGGAAAAGCGUACAGGCGCCGCGGAAACUAUGCUCUACCAGUCAUGUAUUGGUAGAGCUCGCAUGGAAACGCGGCCCUCAAAGGAACAUGCGCGAUGCGCGUGUGUAUGGUCACCUAAUUCUGAGGAGCUCAAGGGGAAAAGAAGGGACAGGCCAAAAAGGCAAACAACGAGGACAAAUAAGGCUCUCGAGUCUAACUCCGGAUA